GAGGAUAUAGCUCAAGUGGUAGAGCACAUGCUUAGCAUGCACAAGGCCCUGGGUUCAAUCCUCAGUACCUCCC
rnacentral:tRNA from 1 species